rnacentral:rRNA from 1 species
GACGUAGGGCGCGAGCGUUGUCCGGAUUUAUUGGGCGUAAAGAGCUCGUAGGCGGUUCGUCGCGUCGGCUGUGAAAACCCGGAGCUCAACUCCGGGCCUGCAGUCGAUACGGGCGGACUUGAGUGUUGGCAGGGGAGACUGGAAUUCCAGGUGUAGCGGUGAAAUGCGUAGAUAUCUGGAGGAACACCGGUGGCGAAGGCGGCAUCCUGGACCGGUAUUGGACGCUGAGGCGCGAAAGCCAGGGGAGCAAAGCGGGG